rnacentral:rRNA from 1 species
GACGAACGCUGGCGGCGUGCUUAACACAUGCAAGUCGAACGGAAAGGCCCCUUUGGGGGUACUCGAGUGGCGAACGGGUGAGUAACACGUGAGUAACCUGCCCUUGACUUCGGGAUAACUUCAGGAAACUGGGGCUAAUACCGGAUAGGAAUCCUUGCUGCAUGGUGGGGGUUGGAAAGCUUCGGCGGUUUUGGGUGGACUCGCGGCUUAUCGGCUUGUUGGUGGGGUAGUGGCUUACCAAGGCUUUGACGGGUAGCCGGCCUGAGAGGGCGACCGGCCACAUUGGGACUGAGAUACGGCCCAGGCUCCGACGGGAGGAAGAAGGGCGGAAGAUUGAUCAAGGGGCGGCAGGCGGAUGCAGCAACGCCGCGUGCGGGAUGACGGCCUUCGGGUUGAAAAACGCUUUAAGCAGGGGCGAAGCUUGUGGUGACGGUACCUGCAGAAGAAGCACCGGCUAACUACGUG